GACGGAAGGUGCAAGCGUUGCUCGGAAUCACUGGGCGUAAAGGGUGCGUAGGCGGCUUGGUGGGUCUGGUGUGAAAGCCCCGGGCUCAGCCCGGGAAGGGCACUAGAAACUGCCGAGCUGGAGUGCCGGAGGGGAGAGUGGAAUUCCUGGUGUAGCGGUGAAAUGCGCAGAUAUCAGGAAGAACACCAAUGGCGAAGGCAGCUCUCUGGGACGGUACUGACGCUGAGACGCGAAAGCGUGGGGAGCGAACAGG
rnacentral:rRNA from 1 species